rnacentral:rRNA from 1 species
CAUUACCUACGGGAUGCAGCAGUCGAGAAUCAUUCACAAUGGGGGAAACCCUGAUGGUGCGACGCCGCGUGGGGGAAUGAAGGUCUUCGGAUUGUAAACCCCUGUCAUGUGGGAGCAAAUUAAAAAGAUAGUACCACAAGAGGAAGAGACGGCUAACUCUGUGCCAGCAGCCGCGGUAAUACAGAGGUCUCAAGCGUUGUUCGGAAUCACUGGGCGUAAAGCGUGCGUAGGCUGUUUCGUACGUCGUGUGUGGAAGGCGCGGGCUCAACCCGCGGACGGCACGUGAUACU